GUACACGCUGUGACUAGCAUAUCAAUAAGCGGAGGAAAAGAAACUAACAAGGAUUCCCCUAGUAACGGCGAGUGAAGCGGGAAGAGCUCAAAUUUGAAAUCUUAAAGGGUUUCCCUUUACGAAUUGUAGUUUAAAGAAGUGUUUUCUGUUGAGGUUUUGGUAAAAGUUCUUUGGAAUAGGACAUCAUAGAGGGUGAGAAUCCCGUAUUUGACCUUUACUUUCAACUUUGUGAUACACUUUCAAAGAGUCGGAUUGUUUGGGAAUGCAGUCCAAAAUGGGUGGUAAAUUUCAUCUAAAGCUAAAUAUUGGCGAGAGACCUAUAGCGAACAAGUACCGUGAGGGAAAGAUGAAAAGAACUUUGAAAAGAGAGUUAAACAGUACGUGAAAUUGUCAAAAGGGAAGCGUUUGACACCAGUGUUGUUUUUCUGAAAAUCAAUUAAAGAACUGUUUAUGCUAAGCUGUUUAGACUUUAUCAGCUAUCUGUUUAGUUUUGAGCUUUUCUUUAAUGCACUUUUCAGUUAACAAGUCAACAUCAAUUUCUUUUGCUGUAAAAAAGCUUGAGGAAGGUGGCUUGAGAUUCGUCUUAAGUGUUUAUAGCCUCUUGCCUAUGCAGUCGGAGAGAUUGAGGUCUGCAGCGUAGAUCCUUCGGGGCUAAAUGCAUUUGUGCUAAGUUAUAACAUUUUAUAGACAACUUGUUGACUAUGAUUUGUCUUGUAGCUUACUCGCUUAUGUUAUUUUACCUACGCUUAGGAUGUUGAAGUCAUCGUAUCGCGC
rnacentral:rRNA from 1 species